rnacentral:rRNA from 1 species
GUCGAACGCUGGCGGCGUGCUUAACACAUGCAAGUCGAACGAAGUGGCGAACGGGUGAGUAACGCGUAAUCAACCGGCCCAUCAGAGGGGGAUAACAGUUGGAAACGACUGUUAAUACCGCAUACUGAAGGAGGGGACUGCGUCUGAUUAGCUAGUUGGAGGGGUAACGGCCCACCAAGGCGAUGAUCAGGAGCCGGUUCGAGAGGAUGAACGGCCACGUUGGGACUGAGACACGGCCCAGACUCCUACGGGAGGCAGCCGUGGGGAAUCUUCCGAAAUGGACGAAAGUCUGACGGAGCACCGCCGCGUGAGUGAUGACGGCCUUCGGGUUGUAAAGCUCUUUUAAUCGGGACGCGGUACCGGAAUAGAAAGCCACGGCUAACUACGUGCCAGCCGCCGCGGUAAUAC